AACGAACGCUGGCGGCGUGGCUAAGGCAUGCAAGUCGAACGGAUCUAUCCAACGGGUAACUGAAGGGUAGAUUAGUGGCGAACGGGUGAGGAAUACAUGGACAACGUACCCUGGACACGGGGAUAGCGGCGGGCCGCAAGGCUCUUUAGCGAAAGUGCCGGUAAUACCCGAUGAUCCCGCAUGGUCGCAUGAUCGUGUGGGCAAAGCUCCGACGGUCUGGGAUCGGUUCAUGCCCUAUCAGCUAGUUGGUGAGGUAAC
rnacentral:rRNA from 1 species